CAGUAGGGAAUCUUCCACAAUGGGCGAGAGCCUGAUGGAGCAACGCCGCGUGUGUGAUGAAGGGUUUCGGCUCGUAAAACACUGUUGUAAGAGAAGAAUGACAUUGAGAGUAACUGUUCAAUGUGUGACGGUAUCUUACCAGAAAGGAACGGCUAAAUACGUGCCAG
rnacentral:rRNA from 1 species